UUAGGAUUUUAGCAGUGCUUGUCCGAUGGGAAAAUGGAAGCUGAUGCAUCAGGGAAAUGGACAAUGCCUACGGUGAAACCAUAAAAGUGUGCUGGGGUUACUUGUGUAAUGACAUUGGGCUAGAUGGUGUCAACAUACUUCAUACUCCAUCCACAUGAUAAUAAACUAUGCUGGCAGGGUCCAGAUAUGCACUUUAGAUAUAAGUAUAUUUGAUCCAGAGUUUACAAUCUACUGGUCACAUUAGUAUCAUCUAGUUCCUUCGUGUUGCCUUGUUGCACUAAUGUUGUUUCAUUUCUAGGCAUAGAUUUCAAAUUACAAUAUAAGCAUAUGCAUCUAUUUAUUUAUAUUGGCCUGUCAAAACCGAGCUUCAGUUGCUUCUUUUUCUCCUCUAAUCUCAGUAGGUUCUUCUUACCUAUUUUUGUUUCAUAAUUAUAUAUGAAAAAUAUGCUGCAGAAAAUGCUCAUUAAUCUUGAUGCUUAUACCUAUCUACCUCACUUGUAGCAAAUCUUGUUGAGAAGUUGAUGUCACAUUUUUUCUGAAGUUUUAGUGGCAGGUGGAUAUCCACAAUUAUCCCUGUUAGGUUCUCUCACUGUGAUGCCUUCUUGUUCUUACAAAUUUUCGCUGCCUAAUUUUGGUCUUAGGAGUCACUGAAAGAUGAGAUGGAAUCCGUUUCACGAGCUCCAGCCUUGAUACAGUAAUCAAUGCUCAUUGAUGUUAUCUACUUUGUCUUGUUGUCUAUGUAUCUAAAAAUUAACAGGAUGUGGUUAUGAGGCGCAAAGUGUGAAGUAACUGUAUUCGAUGCAAUAGGGGCCUUUGAGUGAGAUUAAGAUGUGCAACUUGCAGUUGAAUCAGUAAAGAAAAAUGUUACAAUUUUGUAAUUUCUCCUUAUUUUGGUCCGUUGUACAUGCCUAAAAGCUUAAAAUACCGGGAUAACAAGCUCAGUUCUAUGGAUCUUGUACCAUGUUAACUAAGUUAUUUUUCUCGCAAAGAAGAAACUAAUUGAUUCCAAAAAUGAAAUGUUGUUGAAAUGUUCAUUACAUUUUUUUUAUGGAAACAAAGUGUUACAUUUUCUGCAGCGAAGAAUCUAUUACCUUUUUCAGUGGUAUGAUUCGAGGCAACAUAAUGUAUAUUAAAUGUGCCCACUAGUGCACAAAGUACAUGGGUUGAAGAAUUAACUGAUUAGAAUCAUUUGUUGAAAGGAUCUCACCUUUGUUGUUUAUCAUAUUUUUGUAGUGUGGCUAACUGGCUGUUAUUGUACCACCAAAGUCCGCUGUCUGCUUGGCCUAACUUUGAGCUUUGUCCUGAUGAGCUUAAGCUGAAGUCAGAUCGCAUGUUUUCUGUUAGGGGUUUAGCGGGUUACAUGGAUAACCUGCAGCUAUCCAGAUUCUUCUCUUUCCAGUGUAUGGGACAUUGUUCGUUAUGUUAAGACUUCUUGACUUUAUGGCUCUUUUAGGCCUGAGCUAUGUGGAGUGUAAUAUAGAAAUAACUUGAACUGGAUAAAUGUUCCAACUAGCAAUCAUAGUGUUUGUGUUCUCUUUUGGUGCAAGUGAACUCUAUUAUUUGCAAUAGUUAUGACUGAGACAACCAUUGACAUUGCUGGUGAAACUUAGCUGAGCUAAGGUGUUACGCUUUAGUUGGGCAUUAGAUAUCACUCUGAAGCUGAUUUGAGAUGCUGUAACUUUUAUUUUCUUUUUCGUGAUUGCCUUUAGCCUGUGCAUUUCUAGACCAGAAACAUGUUUACCCUUCGCUAAUUUGCUUAGUUUUUUCCCAGCAGAAUGGUAUUGGUUGUUUCAUAUCAAAUCAACCUGGAUUCCAAAUCAAGAAUGAUCUAUACUUUGUUUCAUCUUUCUAGUUCGUAUACUCAAUCGCUGCGCAAAUUGGCCUUAAUAAUCUAUAAUAUGGUUUGUAUGGAAACAUUGGCCGCACCAAAUUUACUCAAGUCUAAUGUAUUCUUGUGAUAGUUUACUGCGCCAUCAUUUUCUUUCUUAUAUCUUAGGAGAAAGGAGACGGAGCUCGAACCACUUCUAUAUCAUAUUGAAGCACUCGUUCCUUGUCUUUGAUGGAUACAUUUUCAAUGUUGUAGAAUACUAGCACGAUGCCCGUGUGUUGCCACAGAACCAUUGGCUUAGGUGGUGAAAUAACUUUAGUGUCCUUUACGACAAUUACGUGAUUUAUGAUUAGAAAAGAUAGCAAAAAUACAGUGAGAGACAUGCAGCAUCAGAGAAUUUUAAAUGACCAUGGUAGCUUGGGAAGAGAACUAAAACCAAGAUUGAUUUUGAGUUGAAGUCACAUUUUUGUCUUUGUUAUCUGUGCCUUUUACAAAAAAAGUUGGUCUCACAUGAAAGUAGUGUAUGUGUCUAUUUAUGAUAGAUUUCACAUGUGCGUAAAGUACAUUUGUUUAUAUGUCUCUUCAAAGGCUGCUAGUUCCACAUGUGGGGAUGCGUGUAUUUGUUUAUUUGGAAAUGAUGUUGAACCCAUAUGUGAACUCACCACCAACUCCAAUCUUCAUAAAGUAGGAAAGAAAUAGGUAGAACUCUAUUCAGAAAGUUUAUUGUGGGAUUUAGGGGUGGAUGUGAACGUAAGAGAAUCCGUGCAAGUUUGACUUAUCAUAAUUAAUAACUUCUUACUGCAUUUUUACUGCGGUCUGACGUAUGACUCGUACUUCACCAGGUGUUCUGCUUCCAAGUGAGGUACUGUGAUCAAUUAUAUGAAUGUGCCAAUAUUGCCAGCCUUUUUUUUUUGCAGCAGCAGAUUUGCAGCUUUUUUGGUAUGUUUGGUGGCAAUUAUCAGGGUCACUAACUCCUAUGGUGCUAGGAUGGGGCCAAAGUACUAAAGGAUAUAUUGCUAAGCUGCUAGUUUGCGGAAGUUUUUGAAAUAUCGAUGUAAACCAAUUACCCAAGUGGCUGAGAACCAGAUGAGGAUAUGGUGAUAUGCUGGCUGUCAUCGCUGACGGAGACAGGUGGUGCUUCUGUCUCUGUGGACUUUAAAUUUUGGCCUUUUCCUUUUAAAUGUUCGUCCAUCAUUAUCCAGAAUAAAUUCCUGCAUUACAGCAUUUGGAGUCAGAAUAAGGUUCUGAAGACACCUGAUUGCUUUCAAUUCCAUACCACAGUGAAUUAAAUGUUCUGAAUAUGGUUGCAAGCGAAGACCCUUGUGCUGUUGCUAUUUACUGUAUUAGAGUAGAUCUUCAUUCCAUGUGCAAUAACUUCCGCUAUUAUGCAAACUAGUAGAACCACAAUAUAUUUCUGGAUAAGUACUUGUACGAAAAUUGUACUUUCCACAGUAGUGCAAUCUUUUAUUUGUUUUC